UACGAAGGGGGCUAGCGUUGCUCGGAAUCACUGGGCGUAAAGGGUGCGUAGGCGGGUCUUUUAAGUCAGGGGUGAAAUCCUGGAGCUCAACUCCAGAACUGCCUUUGAUACUGAAGAUCUUGAGUUCGGGAGAGGUGAGUGGAACUGCGAGUGUAGAGGUGAAAUUCGUAGAUAUUCGCAAGAACACCAGUGGCGAAGGCGGCUCACUGGCCCGGUACUGACGCUGAGGCACGAAAGCGUGGGG
rnacentral:rRNA from 1 species